GAUGAACGCUGGCGGCGUGCCUAAUACAUGCAAGUCGAGCGAACGGACGAGAAGCUUGCUUCUCUGAUGUUAGCGGCGGACGGGUGAGUAACACGUGGAUAACCUACCUAUAAGACUGGGAUAACUUCGGGAAACCGGAGCUAAUACCGGAUAAUAUUUUGAACCGCAUGGUUCAAAAGCGAAAGACGGUCUUGCUGUCACUUAUAGAUGGAUCCGCGCUGCAUUAGCUAGUUGGUAAGGUAACGGCUUACCAAGGCAACGAUGCAUAGCCGACCUGAGAGGGUGAUCGGCCACACUGGAACUGAGACACGGUCCAGACUCCUACGGGAGGCAGCAGUAGGGAAUCUUCCGCAAUGGGCGAAAGCCUGACGGAGCAACGCCGCGUGAGUGAUGAAGGUCUUCGGAUCUUAAACCUCUGUUAUUAGGGAAGAACAUAUGUGUAAGUAACUGUGCACAUCUUGACGGUACCUAAUCAGAAAGCCACGGCUAACUACGUG
rnacentral:rRNA from 1 species